rfam:Acyrthosiphon pisum strain LSR1 Contig8191, whole genome shotgun sequence.
AAAAAGGCCCUUUUCAGGGCCACCAAAACAACUGUACGGUAACAU